rnacentral:rRNA from 1 species
GAAUUUUGGACAAUGGGGGCAACCCUGAUCCAGCCGUCCCGCGUGUGCGAUGAAGGCCUUCGGGUUGUAAAGCACUUUUGGCAGGGAAGAAAAGGCUCUGGCUAAUACCUGGAGCUGCUGACGGUACCUGCAGAAUAAGCACCGGCCAACUAAGUGCCAGCAGCCGCUGUAAUACGUAGGGUGCAAGCGUUAAUCGGAAUUACUGGGCGUAACGCUUGCGCAGGCGGUUCGGCAAGAAGGAUGUGAAAUCCCAGGGCUUAACCUUGGAACUGCAUUCUUAACUGCCGGGCUAGAGUAUGUCAGAGGGGGGUAGAAUUCCGCGUGUAGCAGUGAAAUGCGUAGAGAUGCGGAGGAAUACCGAUGGCGGAGGCAGCCCCCUGGGAUAAUACUGACGCUCAUGCACGAAAGCGUGGGGAGCAAAC